AGCGAACGCUGGCGGCAGGCUUAACACAUGCAAGUCGAGCGCUCGUAGCAAUACGAGAGCGGCAGACGGGAGAGUAACACGUGGGAACGUACCCUUUGGUUCGGAACAACACAGGGAAACUUGUGCUAAUACCGAAUAAGCCCUUACGGGGAAAGAUUUAUCGCCAAAGGAUCGGCCCGCGUCUGAUUAGCUAGUUGGUGGGGUAAUGGCCCACCAAGGCGACGAUCAGUAGCUGGUCUGAGAGGAUGACCAGCCUCAUUGGGACUGAGACACGGCCCAAACUCCUACGGGAGGCAGCAGUGGGGAAUAUUGGACAAUGGGCGCAAGCCUGAUCCAGCCAUGCCGCGUGGAUGAUGAAGGCCUUAGGGUUGUAAAGUCCUUUUAACGGGAAGAUAAUGACGGUACCCGUAGAAUAAGCCCCGGCUAACUUCGU
rnacentral:rRNA from 1 species